rnacentral:rRNA from 1 species
CCUACGGGAGGCAGCAGUGAGGAAUAUUGGACAAUGGGCGCGAGCCUGAACCAGCAAAGUAGCGUGAAGGAUGACUGCCCUACGGGUUGUAAACUUCUUUUAUAGAGGAGUAAAGUGAGGCACGUGUGCCUUUUUGUAUGUACUUUAUGAAUAAGGAUCGGCUAACUCCGUGACAGCAGCCGCGGUAAUACGGAGGGUCCGAGCGUUGUCCGGAUUUAUUGGGUUUAAAGGGAACGUAGAUGGGUUGUUAAGUCAGUUGUGAAGUUUUGCGGCUCAACCGUAAAAUUGCAAUUGAUACUGGCAGUCUUGAGUACAGUUGAGGUAGGCGGAAUUCGUGGUGUAGCGGUGAAAUGCUUAGAUAUCACGAAGAACUCCGAUUGCGAAGGCAGCUUACUAAACUGCCACUGACAUUGAUGCUCGAAAGUGUGGGUAUCAAACAGGAUUAGAUACCCGAGUAGUC